GAAAUGAGUCACCUCCUUGCCACUUAAAAAAAACCAAAAAAAAAACAGCAACUUUUUCGCCUGGAUAACACUCAUACUCUAUCUUCAGUCAGGAUCCCACUGGUCCACUAGCUCAAGACUCCCACUUAAACCCUGCACUUGAACGCACCACCAGCCUGGGCUGGCUCCCUGUGGAAAUUCACCCACUGCAAAGGCCAGGAAAAGUGCAGCAGGUCACCAGGGCAGAGCACAACAACGUACCUCAGAGGAAGGAUGAGCUCGAGGCAGACACUCUUCUCUUCGUGCUUCUUCCUCCUCGUGUCGGACCACUCAAGCGAAGUCCGAUGCUGAAUGACUUCAGCAUCGCAGGUGAGGGAAUGUGUUUGCUUGAGUGCUGUCAACCACGGGGAGCAUCACAGGAGAGGACAACAAUUCCUCCACCCCCACUAAGGCCAAAAACAUUUGGAUUCAUAGAUGCACGCGUCCUUGCAUAUCUGAACUUUGUCUUUAGCAGAUGAAUCAACAUUAGAAAAAAAACAGUUGGUGAAUCUGCACCACAAUUUGAUGCAUUCCGUCUUGGCCCAUGGCCCGCCCCCAAACAAAGCGUUGUAGAGACAGGUGGAACGGUCUAGACGUCAUCCUAACUAACCAGCAAACAAACGGCUGACAAAACAUAACCACCCUGGUGGAGGUAAUAACCGUAAACACCCUCUCACCCAGUAGGCCUGUCGGUUUGGGGGCGUGGUUAGAGCACAUUUUUGUUUCCUGGUUAUGGGCCUGCAAAGCGCAGCAGCCCAUUUUAUUAUUCCUCAUACUUCUAUUUAUUUACAUGUUACCGAUACCAGUGGAUGCAUCGAUUGAUGUUGGUAUUGCCGAUACCGUGAUAUCAGUGUCAGAUAGAUACUAGACUGCAGGCCUGUCACGAUAAUCGAUAAAUCCAAAAAAUAUUGUCUAACAUCGAUAAUCGAUGAUAAUUUGUAGCACAAUUAUCAACCAUGUGUGUGUGUGUAUGUAUAUUAUAUAUUUUUAUAUAUAUAGUUUUUGCUUUUGUUUACUUAUUUUGCUCAAAAGGCCUGUUUUUGUUGUUGUUUUUCUUGGCAACAUUCUGAGUCACCAUGGCGUAUAACCUGCUACCAACCUGCAAGGACACAACGCUGGGCGGAGGGUCGUGGGGCUAUGCUGGAGCCUAUCCUAGCUGACUUUGGGCAAGAGGCGGACUUGUUGCCAGCCAAUCGCAGGCCCAUCCAAAACAUAUGUUUAUUUUUUUGUUGGUAGACUGCGUGUUUCUUCAAACUGCCUCAAACUUUGCGAAGGGAAUGUGUUUUGGCCUCCUGCUAAAUAUGCAAAAUAUAAGAAAUAACUGUCAAAGUGCAAAUUCCAAGCACAACAAUGACCAUAUUGUUUCAUUAAUACGGAAAAUAAGCACGUGUGUACCUAAUGUAGUGGCCUGUGAGUGUGUGCGAGUCUCAAGUGAGUAUAAAAGAUGGAAGGGAGUAAAGGUGUUUGUUUAGCUCGUUAAACAGAAAAGAAUAUGUUAAGAGGUGCUCUUUGUCAUUGAGACCAUAAAGGAUAAAGACUCUUCAUUGUAAACGUCAACCAGGGGGAUAAAAGUAGAACUGAAGAAUUUCCAGUCUGUAAAACAGGCACAGAUGCACAUAUAAUGAACAUUUAGUGAUUUUGUGACAUUUUUCGUUGGGGGGGGGGGGGGGCUAAAAAUCAUUGACGAUAGAAGCUGAAGGAUGCGAGGAGUAGGAGGAGCUGGCAGUGAGAAGGUUAACUGAAGCUUGAACAUCCGCUGCUAGCGAGAGCCAGAUGGUCAUGUGGAGCACUUAGAGCCACGUGCACAGCUCCCCCUGCUGGAGCAUGCGUACGCGCGCGCACACACACACGCACACACACGCACACACACACACAGCUCACACAUCAGCCUUGCAGUGUGUUAACAUCGCUCACGAUUCCCAAGUCGUUUACAUCCUUCCCCCUCGCACUCCUCCUUUCAUUUCCUGGUCUCGGUCUGAUGCUCCCAGUUAAUUGGCUGCUGUCUAAUUGCCGCUCAUUAGCGACACUAAGCAAAGAUCUUCCCCUCUGUUUCUUCUUCUCUUCUUACUUGCCUCCUUGCCGCAUCACUUGUCGCUGAGUUGCUCCACUUCCUCCCAAGUAGACACGACGGGCCUGAGUGAGCAAACUAGCUUUAGCAGCUCUCACAAGCAUUAUGGGAUGGCAGGGAAGUCAGGUGAUGUAACACAGUAAGAAUACGCUGUAGAUACAGGCUCUUCCUUAGACACGCAGGUGGAGAUCCAUACACGAGGGAGGAGUGCAUACAGCUUUCUCGGUGGCGCGCUUUAGUGGCGUCACAUGUCGACACUGUGAUGUCACUGCAUAGCAAUGAUAACAACAGCAGCAGCAAGCAUAGUUGCAACAGUAGUGACCACGAUACCAACGGGAACAGAGGCAACCACAAGAACAUAAGCAACAACAGGAACAGGAACCCCGGGAAAAACAAGAAGAGAAUGAACCAUGGGGUGCUGGGUGGACGUUCAUUUAGUACAAGCAAUCGUUCAUAACAGCAUCUCCCAAAUUGGCUGAAUGGAGAAGCUGCCUCAGCAAUGAGCACACUAACACCGGCAACAAUAAGAACACCUGCAACGGCAACGAGAACAGCAGCAACGUGCACAAUAGCAACCGCAGUAUCAGUAAUGGCAACAGGAACACCGACAGCCAUGAAACACCAGCAACAAGAACACUGACAUCAAGGAAUGUAGCAAGAACAGCAACGACUACAAGACCAGCUACAACAAAAAUGAUAGCAGCAGCCAUGAAAACCGCAACAAGCACAAUAGCGAACAGCUGCACAUUAACAGGAACACCGGCAACAACAGCAACAAGCACGGCAGCAGCCACAGACGCAAUAAUGGCAACAAGAACAGGACAAAAAAAACAGAAACAGCAGCAUCAAGUACAGUAGCAAGAACAGCGACAACUACAAGAACACCAGCAACAACAAAAACGACAGCAGCAGCUACGAAAACGGCAACAAGCACAAUAACACCAACAGGAACACCGGCGACAACGUGAACAUCGGCAACAAGCACAACAGCAACCACAGUAGCAGUAAUGGUAAUAGGAACAGGGACAAAAACACCAUCAACCUCUAAAACCGCAGCAAGAAGAACACCGGCAUCGAGGACAGUAGCAAGAAGGCAACAAUAAGAAACAGCAGAAACCAAAACAACCGUAACAGCAGCAAACACAAUCGCCCAUCCUGUUGCAAAGCCAAUGAUGUGCCUUGAGAAUGAUUUACAAGUCAGGAACAGGCCCUGCAGGAUUAGAUUAGUCUCCUGGCUCCUGCAGCCCCCAGAGACGAAUGACACACGGCCAACGCCAGAGCGGAGACGACGGAUCAAUAAAUAUCAUGGAGGGAGGCAGAGAGAGAAAGAAGUGUGUUUAAAAUAUGACUCCACUCCGACGCUGUCACAACCUUUCUGACCAACAAACGCACUCUCUCACUUUACGUGCUUUGCAUCAGAAACUCAUUGGUUGGGUCCAGACAAGAGUCGACAUCUCUCAGGUUUAUGGCUUCAGGCUCGCUGGCUUCACCUGCGUGAGGGAAGUUUGCCUCCACAGUUUUGAUGAGUCAUGCUUGCUCGUUCCAGAAGCUGUCCCGCAGCACUUGUAGGUCAUAGGUGUCCAUGCAGGUGCCUGGUGACUUAUACAACAUUCCUCUGCUGGGCACCAGAAUGAACUGCAGGUCCUACUUCUUGGGAUGAUUCCACAAGUCCAAAUUUAUGGGAAGAGUUUUUGAGAAGGACAAAAGUGAAAAUGAGAGUGAGUGAUGCUUAAGGGGGAGUCUGGACAAAGAAGAAUGAACGGAAGGAGGAGAGAGAGAGAGAAAGAAGUGGGCGACUGGGCCAAUGAGAGGGUUGUCAUGGUAACAAGUGAUCAUGAUGAGGAUGAUCAGAAAAGCAAAGACAUAUAGAAGGCACAUCAUCACAUCAGAUAUGAUCUGUCGAUGCCCGAAAAAGCCAUUAAAAUUAUCAAUUGGACGUUUCUUUUAAAAUCAGGCGGCGUGGCUCACGGGAUAAAGCGGGUUGUUGAGUAACCAGAGGGUUUGAAUCCCGCUUCCUCCAUCCCUUUGGCAAAAGACACGUCACCCACUUUGUCUCCCAGAGUCGCCCACACAGGAAUGCUUUGCUGACCAGGAUGCUGAUCCGGUCCCCCAGGUUCUGCCCCUCAGGAGGACGGGUUCAAUGCAGAGACGAAUGUGACUGUACAUUGGGACAAAUAAAGUUCAAUGGGCCUCAUUCACGAACAUCUUCUUAAAAGUCUUCUUAAGAAGUGUACUUAAGAAGGCGUGGGUUGGAAACUGCGCCACAUUCACGACACGUUCUUAAGUAGGGAUAAUCGUUCGCACCGAUGUUCUUAGGUUGAUGAAUGCCAACUGCGAUGCACGUGUAUGUAAGUCCUAAUUUGCAUAGGUCACUGCCUAUUAUUUCCUAUAUAAGGUCAAAAACGUGCCGUGCGCAACAGGCAGCUGGAGGCGGAGAUGGCAACACGCAAGGGCAAGACUGAGGAGCAGCUGGACAACAAACGAAAGAAAAACUUCAAUUCUACAGAAAUAGAGGUGCUUUUACAAGGAGUGAGCGAACACAAGACCACCUUAUUUUCACGUGUAUCCACCGGUCAUCAGGCCAUCCAAAAAGAGUCGGCAUGGAGCACCAUGGCAGGAAACAUAAAUGCUGUUUCCACGGAGAAACGCACCACCGCAGAGGUUAAAAAGAACUGUUUUGACUUAAAAUAGACUAAAAAAAAAAGAUUGGACUGCACCGGGGGGAUCUGGAGGAAACGGGAGGUGGGCCAUCAAUCAGAAACCAAACCAUUUCAGAAACUCUAGGAAAUAUUUACACAAUCAUGAUGGAAAAAUAAAGUCAAAAUACAUAGUUUGUGUGUGACAAUGUAUUUUUUCUGUGGUUACAUUUGAUUAGACGCUGCCUAAUUAAUACAGCAGCCCCGUGCUCUGGCUCAAGACGUGGCUGGGGGCGCAUGUCGUUAUCUGGGGGUGCUACGUGCACAAUAGGCACACCACGUUUCAUUGCGAUGUUAUUCUGAUGAUCCUGCACACCUGCAAGAACAGAGAGGGAAGCCUGAAGCCUGAAGCGGGACAUCAAAUAUUGGUGGCUUUCAGCAAAUAAAUCUAAUGGUCCCUUUACAUUCUCUCUCUGCGCAGCGCACGUCCAGCCAGCUACUUUUUUUUUUUUUUGGGAUGAAUUGGGAUUUGAAUACAUAUUUAUCCAUGGAGUAUAUUUUAGUUGUUUUGAUGAUAAAUAAUUGUUGGGAUAUUUUAUUUGCACUACAUUUUUUGGGAUCAGGUUGCAAAAUCCAUCAUGAGGGCGAUUGCACAUUGAAAGUGCAAGCUUUGCUUGUGCGUAAGAGUCCUCCUGAGCGUUCGUAAAAUUUGUUCUUAGAUCUAAGAACUGUGAGUUAAGAACACGUUUCGUGAAUGCCAAAAAUCUUCGUAAGAAGGCUUUACGAACACAUUUGUGCUGAAGAACGUUUCGUGAAUGAGGCCCAAUGUCUUUAAUCUGCUCCGCUCGUGUGAUGUCUUGUAUGCGUGCGAUGUCGGCACAAAUUCUUUGGGUUCUUUUGUCUCUUUGGACCGUUCGGCGAUCCCUCCCCCCCAUGAUUACUUUGGGAGAGCUCUUAAGGCAAAUGCUGCAAAAGGAUGAGGCUCAGCCAACUGUACUUAAAGUAUUUAGCUGGCUCAGGAGUUUUCCCCGGGAUGGGUGUCAGGGAUCC